rnacentral:rRNA from 1 species
CCUACGGGGGGCACCAGUGGGGAAUAUUGCACAAUGGGCGCAAGCCUGAUGCAGCCAUGCCGCGUGUGUGAAGAAGGCCUUCGGGUUGUAAAGCACUUUCAGCGGGGAGGAAGGCGUUAAGGUUAAUAACCCUGGCGGUUGACGUUACCCGCAGAAGAAGCACCGGCUAACUCCGUGCCAGCAGCCGCGGUAAUACGGAGGGUGCAAGCGUUAAUCGGAAUUACUGGGCGUAAAGCGCACGCAGGCGGUCUGUCAAGUCGGAUGUGAAAUCCCCGGGCUCAACCUGGGAACUGCAUUCGAAACUGGCAGGCUAGAGUCUUGUAGAGGGGGGUAGAAUUCCAGGUGUAGCGGUGAAAUGCGUAGAGAUCUGGAGGAAUACCGGUGGCGAAGGCGGCCCCCAGGACAAAGACUGACGCUCAGGUGCGAAAGCGUGGGGAGCAAACAGGAUUAGAUACCCCUGUAGUC